rnacentral:lncRNA from 1 species
UUGAAAGACACGAGCAGCACAAAGAGCAGGCAUACGGAUUCUACGACCACGGCCAUCGACUUUUUUAUGACGGUCUUUAUUAGAGGUACGUUUAGGAGCCAAUUGCUUGUUGUUGAUGUUGUUGUUGCUGUUGCUGUUGUUUUGAUCUUUGUUUGAAAUAAUGAGAGUGAAGUCUUUGAUAUCUGAAGAAGUUGUAGGUAAUGGAGGUGUUGUUAAUGGAGAUGAAGAAGUUGCAGGAGAAGGAAGUAAUGGGUGAUGCUUGUUGUUGUUGUUGUUGUUUUGGUCUGCCAUGUCUGUGUGUGGGGAUGGGGAGGACCCAAAAAGAAAAGUGGGUUCCUCUUUGUG